ACGCUCGACACCUACGGUAGGCAGCAGUAGGGAAUCUUCCACAAUGGACGCAAGUCUGAUGGAGCAACGCCGCGUGAGUGAAGAAGGUCUUCGGAUCGUAAAACUCUGUUGUUAGAGAAGAACACGAGUGAGAGUAACUGUUCAUUCGAUGACGGUAUCUAACCAGCAAGUCACGGCUAACUACGUGUCAGCAGCCGCGGUAAUCUGAGCGGGCUGGCAAGGC
rnacentral:rRNA from 1 species